rnacentral:rRNA from 1 species
GACGAACGCUGGCGGCGUGCCUAAUACAUGCAAGUCGACCUUAGUGGCGGACGGGUGAGUAACACGUGGGAACCUACCCAUCAGAGGGGGAUAACGUCCGGAAACGGGCGCUAAUACCGCAUACUAUCAGAUGAGCCUAGGUCGGAUUAGCUAGUUGGUGGGGUAAAGGCCUACCAAGGCGACGAUCCGUAACUGGUCUGAGAGGAUGAUCAGUCACACUGGAACUGUGACACGGUCCAGACGCCUACGGGAGGCAGCAGUGGGGAAUAUUGGACAAUGGGCGAAAGCCUGAUCCAGCCAUGCCGCGUGUAUGAAGAAGGCCUUAGGGUUGUAAAGUACUUUCAGCGGGGAGGCGUUACCCGCAGAAGAAGCACCGGCUAACUCCGUGCCAGCAGCCGCGGUAAUUC